UUCAGCUUCUUAUAGAUUUAUUUGAUGCGAAGGAAGGGCAUUUAGCCUUACCAAACUAAAAAGCAAAAUGAACCAAGGACAGACUAGCAGUUGCCUGAUCUUCAUAAUUUCCACCAAAGGGUAGCUUGUAUCCUUGCUAAAUCUUACUUGGUAUUUUUUUCUAAGGAGCAUAGACCUCCAGGAUGAAAAUUCUCAGUUUUGGAGAGUUGAAUGGAUAACUACCUUAUCCCUCAAAAAAAGAAGUAGCUUAUUGACACAAUUGCUUUCUGCAUCAGGAGAUAUUUUAUUUGCUGGAACACUAAUGAUCAGUACUAGAACACUAAUUGAUAAUACUACUUUGACAUAGAAUUUUUAACAUUUCUAUAGAAGGUACAAAACUUCAGGGGAGAUUUUAUAAAUACUUGUCAUUCGCUUCACAAUACAGAAGCAACCUCAGUCAAUUGUUUGUUACUUUUAAUUGAACAUGUCUUAUUCAAUUAAUAUUUGUAUUAUUGUUUUCCUUAUGGGUUGUGAUAUGAUAGCAUAUGUUAACAUUUGUAAGACAAGGAGAAAAUAAGUAUGAAAAGCAGUUUAUACCUGGCUAGGGUAUUCUUUUUAUCCUGCAGCUUUCAAGAGUGAGAGUAAAAAUAAAUUGAUUGACCUGCCCAUUUUAAAACACGAUUCUACUUUUUUCUCAUAGAUAUGAAAAGAAAACCCAACUUUCCUGAAGUAUGUUUUAUGCUUAUUUUACCUUGUUAUAGGGCUGGGAUGAUACUGGCAAGAAGGGGCUUCUCGGGUAGGUCCGCAAAGUCCUGUUCAGACAGAACCUCGAUCACAUAGUAAAUCGCUUCUUGAGUGGGGUGGGGAAUUCUGUAGUUUGUAAGGUAGGAUUACCUUUCAAAGGAGAAGGGAAAACAUAGUCUAGAUAUUUCCAAAGCUUUGGUCUUUCUCCAGCAUGCUGAAACUAAGGUCUGCUUGAUUCUCUGGCCUGGGCUGUAGGUCUCUGAUGAUUUCAUUUGUGUUCUCUCCAAAUGAAUUCUUUUAUACUUUGUAUUUCAGCUUAGACAAGUUAUUUAUUUAUUGAAUAACGUGCAUGUAGGUUCAAUUAAGUGAAAGAUGAUCACAUGUAAUUAGCUACUUGUAAAGUGGAUUACAUAAAACAUUGGCAUGGAGGCUGUUCUAUAACUAAAUAUUAUUUUUUAGAAAGGCUUUCACCUCAAAAAGCGUGUCUGGAUUACUCAAGGGGUGUAUGGGUUUGGAUUUGAGCUGCAUGGCUCCUUAUGCAAGGUGAUGUAUUCCUUCUUGGUGUUUGCCAAGGGCAAAGUUAUGUGAUGCACGUGGAAACUUGGCUUUCUAAGGAAGCCGUCUGAGUCCUCAUUAUGGCAUCAGAACCGCAUGAAGACUUACUCUCUGGCAUGCGUAAGGACACCCAUUGCCGUAUUCCCAGUACCUUAGACUCUUCAGGAAGAAUCUAUUUUGAGAACUUUACUUUUGUCAUCUUGCCUCACAGAAACUUUCUAUACCUUUGUGAACAAUGAACAAUAGUCUAUAUGUAACCAUUGCUUUUUAAGCAUUAGCAUCAUAACUUCUGAAUUCCUUUAACUUCCUUACUCUGGGGUAGCAUAGUAUUUUGUUUGUGGAAGCAAUUCUAGACUCCUAGGUCUACCUUAUUUUUCUUUUUCUCCUCUUAAUAGAUUCGGCCUUCCCUCCUGCCAAACCUCUGCACUGUCCACUCCUUCCCCUGUCUAGCAGGAUUCUCCUAACCUUUGCUGUUUGAAUAAAAAAUCAAUAAGACUAUUAUAACCAUUUGAAAAUUUUUAAAAGACAGAAACAAUAUUUUAAUUACUACUGACAUGCCAGUUGGAAACCCAUAUCCUCUUUUAUGACAGUUCAGUUUAGAAACUACAUUGCUUCAUUUCAGUAACUUUAUUACCAUUUGGCUCGGAGAUUGCUAUUUCGCCUUGGCCACAGAUUUCAUCAGUUGCCCGGUUCACCUUUGUCCACACUAUACUUGUGAAAUGACCUCCUCCGUUAGUGCUUGUCAAUAGUAAAUUGCUAUAUUCUGCACCUAGAAACACACCAACAGACUACAACCUUUUAUUGAAUGACUGAGUUUGUACUUAAUUUUUAGAAAUUAAAUUUUAAUUGGAACAGCCUUAAUUACCAUUUAAUACUAGUUAAUUAAGGCACUGGUUAGGGUCAGCUAUCACAGACAUCAUUCUUAUUGAUAAUAGGAACAAUAAACAUGACAUAGUGUGCAAGUGUCUAUAUAACAAGUAUGUUUUCUUUGGUGUUUCCCACCUCUGAUUUUCUAACUAUUCUAUCAAAAUAACAAUGUGUGAGGCAGCCAAGGUUCAAUUAUCCUGAUGACAAAUUAAUUUUUUUUUAGAGUUCCCAAUGACUAAAUUAUCUGUUUAUAGAAACUUCUUUUAAAAUGGUGAGAAAUUUGUGCUAUUGUAAUAGAAGGACAAAUAGGAUUUGAUAUCACAAUGUAACUUAAAAAUAGUUACGUAAACAAUUUUAAAUAUAAAUUUUUAUUUGAAACAAAUGACUAAAAUAGUACAUCUGGAAGUACUUAGAAAUUUCUGGUUAUAUCAAGACCAGUAGUUUCUCUGUUAAAUAUGUAUUUUCCUAACUAUAUAUAUUUUUAUUUAUUAUAAGAUUUACAAGAAAAGAAAACAUGUCCACUCUUCACCUCUUUUCGCAGAUAGUUUCACUUUUUGUGUCUCCUUAACAAAGCCAUUUCUAUAAAUAGAUCACUGCCAAGUUGCUUGAAAAUUAAGGUAAAAUAAAAGGCCUGUAUUCUUGGAAAUCUCAUUUGAAUGAAAUUUACAAUAAUGAUUAAAUACUGCUGUUACUUCUCAAAUGUUGCUUGAUAUGCACUUAGUCUUGGUUGUAUAAUUUCACAAAGAUUAUUUUCUGUACUAAAAACACAAAUUCCAAAUUCCAUUUCUUGUGCAUUUUUAAUCUUCUUUGUUUUUGCUUUGUCACUACGCUCUUUGAGAUAACCUGGUAUCAGGCAGAGUUUACCUACUAGAGAAUAAAAUCAGGAUUAAACUAUUGAGGAAUGUUCUUUUGACAGAUGAACAUGGUAAGCUUGGUUGUUUUCAUCCUGAAUGUUUUGAAGUAAAGUAAGAUUGAGAUUUUAUUCAUCAAUAGAAAGUAAAAUAAUUGUAUAACUCUUGUAUGAUUUUAUUGAUGUUAGGCAAUGAAGACAGAAAUGAAAUGUUAAGCUUUUCUCCUUGCAGAUGUAAUUGAUGCUACAAUGGCUGUGACAUUCAGGAAUAUGAAAGUUUUCAUCAGUUUGCUUAUACUUUUGAUCAUAUUGGUAUAAUUUUUUUGCUUGUUUUAAAUGAGGUUAUUGCUCAAGAAAAGAAAAAUUUAAUAAAACCUGUGUUUGAAAAUAAAAUUCUGUCAGAAUUUCAGCCAACAAGAUUUCCUGUGUGAUGUGCAAUAACUGAUAUUUCAGUGUUGCUCUUCCUCAGAGAUUGACUUUUAGGUUGCCUGUAGCUCAGGACAGAAUUCGAUCAAAUCAAAAGCAUAUGCAGUCUGCAUGGGAUUUGUUUGGAUGAUAUGCAGAGAUAUGCAUUUUGUAUUUUAAUCAGUAUACUUUAGGUUCAUCUUACAAAAAGAAAAAAUAGCACUGUCUAAAUCUAAAAACAGACAUUUAUAGGCACCUGUUUGAAUCAUCAUGGUUAGGUUUAUUUUACGAUACAUUAAUAUUCUUAAAAUUCCCAAUAAGAAGAACAGUCACAUUUAAUAUACAAUAUUGAGUGGCUUUUGUGUGCUCAUUAAUAGUGUCACAGUUUAAAUAAAACUAUUAAGCCACCACCUUUACAAACUUGAUUUUACCUUUUUGAAUGUCUAGGGCAAAGGUUCAAGGCAUUUCUUUUCAGGUAAAUAAUUUGUAACUGUUGUUAAUCAAAAUUUCUCUAAAAUAAACCUAUUUAGAAAUAAUAAUAAUUGAAAAUCACCAACAUGGAAGAGUAGAUGAAUUGUGGGUUCAUAUGUAUUGCUAGAUAAGUUAAACAUCAGAGACAUAAAGUGUAAAGUUUGUGCAGCACUUAACAAGCUUUAGAAGAGCAUUAAAAGUAACGUAUAUGUAAUAUGCAAUACUAAUAGAGCUUCACAGUGCCCCUGAGAAAGCUGAAAAUGCAAUUCAGGACGCUUCAGGCUGUCUGAGAUGUUGAGAUUAUGUUCCACUAAGACCAAAAUAAGGUCUCAACAAGGUUUUCUUUCAACAUGUAAAUUCUCUGGAUGAAGAGAAAUGGAAAUAUAUUAAAAAUUCCAGGAGCUUAAAAAUGUAGGCAUUUAUAAGUGAUUAAAAUAGACGUUAAGUUUUUAGCUUUCCUUAGUAGUUGGCGUACCUUAACUUGUUUUUAUGUUAAACCAGUUAUUUUAAAAGCCAAACAUGUAUGGAGUGUGUCUAUCUUAUCGCUAUGUUAAUAGAAAAUAGUUCAAAAGAUAAAGGAGAGAAAAGUAAAGCCAUUAUAAUAAAAGAUUUUGAGUGCUGCUUUGGAGUUCUGGAGAGCGACCUUGCAUCACAUGUAUUAGGAUUAUCCGAAAGGAAAGACAAAAAACAAACUAUAUAAAAAGAGUUUAUAGAGAACUCUUUUCUUUAGAAGUCUCCCAUAUUGUCAGCUUAUAUAUUUUUAUAUACAGUGUCCUGUAACUAAAAUUUUAAGAAUUGAGUUCAGCCAUUAUCUUAUAACUAAGGAGGUAAAAACACAGCCUCUCUGGGUCUUAGUCUUUUUCAUCUUAAAAUGGAUGACUUCCAUCCAGAGAUUUCUAAAUUCUCUUCCAGCUCUAAAACACUAUGAGAAACUAUGGAACUACGAAGUUCCAUUUGAAAAUUUUUAAGAACGUGGAAAUUGAUUGUGCCACUCAAUUUUUCUAGUGGGUAUCAGCUGUGCAAUGAAGAGUGUUGAACAAUAUGUUAUUUCUUAGCCUCUAGGAAAGUGGUCCCCACACUGUGGGCUGCAGAUCUCUAGGAAUAUUGGACUUGUUGCAAAAGUUUCUCAAAUUCACAUGUGUAUUAAACAUGUGUUUCUUCACACAUAUGUACUAUAGGUGUUUUUGAUAUAUGAGGUAUCUGUUGUGAUUAGAAUAAAAACAUAUAUGCAUUUAGAAAUGUCAUAAAGGUGUCACAGAAUUCACCAUAAUUCUUAAGUCAUUGUUUCAUCAAUUAAUGAGAAAAGUAAAAUCAGUAUCUUAAAUCUGUGCAGGUAUUUUAAUGCUAAAAUGCGGUGGAACUCUUGUGUACUCACUGGAGGUACAUUAGUUGCAUAUAAUGUGAACUAUUGAGCAUUGACUUGGAAGUUGUGCCAUUAAUAUUUUUCCAGGGUCUUUGGAAUAUUUUAUUCCAUUUGAACACCUAGUUGGGGUUACGGCUCCAUUUCCUGUCAGAGUAUUUGAAGUAUCCCAUUAGCUACUGUUAGUGGUUGUCUUAGGAAUUCCUUCUAAGGGUGAAUAGUAACUGCUAUUUGUUGAGUUGAGCAUUUACUAAGCAUUGUGUGUGUGUGUGUUCGUGUGUGUGUGUGUUUUUGUGUGUGUGUGUGUGUGUGUGUGUGUGCGCAAGAUAUUUUGCAAGUUCAUUGAAGGAAUGCCAAGCUCUAAGGAAUCAAGGAUGAUUUUCUUAGGAAAGGUGAUACUUGAGCUGAGGUAUGAUGCCGAGGUUGUUGCUAGUAAGAGAAGGAGGGAAGGGAAAGGGAUGGAGCACAUUUUACAUGAGCUAGAGAUGCAGACGGGCAUUAGAUAGUCAAGAGACAAUAACAAAUCACGAGUCCCAUGUGCCUAGAACAUUGCAGGGUGGAGGAUUAAGUAGUGGAAGAAUUGUGUAGGCGAG